rnacentral:rRNA from 1 species
UAAUACGUAGGGGGCGAGCGUUGUCCGGAUUUACUGGGCGUAAAGGGCGCGCAGGUGGCGCCGUAGGUUCGUCGUUAAAGCCCGAGGCUCAACUUCGGGUGGUCGGCGGAGACCGCGGGGCUUGGAGGCCGGUAGAGGGAUGCGGAAUUCCCGGUGUAGUGGUGAAAUGCGUAGAGAUCGGGAGGAACACCAGAGGCGAAAGCGGCAUCCUGGGCCGGACCUGACGCUGAGGCGCGAAAGCGUGGGGAGCGAACCGGAUUAGAUACCCGGGUAGUCCACGCCCUAAACGGUGACCACUAGGUGCGGGGGGUAUCGACCCCUCCCGUGCCGUAGCUAACGCACUAAGUGGUCCGCCUGGGGAGUACGGCCGCAAGGCUA